CGCCCGUUCCUCAAAUCGACGUCCAAAUACGACGUCACGUUCUCAAAUCAAUGUCUAAUAUUUUAGCCCUCUAAUCCAAUGUGACGUAAUGAAUUCUAAAAACGAUGUCCCAUCGAUUAGGAGACUCUUAUCGCGAUGUUUAAAUUCAUUCAACCAUUUAUUUUUAAAUUUAUCUUUGUUUAUAUUAUUUUUAUCGUUUUUUUUGUGUGAAGUGCUUACAUAAACUAUAAAUAAAUAAGAAGAUGUGGUAUGAGUGCCAUUGAGACAAGUCACAAUGAAUAAAAUUAUAAACAAUUAUAGGUCAAAGUACGGCAAGAACGUCAUAUUAGAAUUGAUCUUUGUUUAUAUUAUCUGUCUCGUUUUAUCAAAGACAAAGAUAAUCGAAAGAC
rnacentral:lncRNA from 1 species